rnacentral:tRNA from 1 species
AUCUUAAUAGUUUAAUUUAAAUAUUACUCUGUGGUUGUAAAGUUACUUAGGUUUAAGAUG